rnacentral:tRNA from 1 species
UUGGCUCAAUCUAAAAUACAAUAAUGAACUCCUCAUCCAUAAUCCUUAUGGUAGUAUACUCGUCUAACGCGGAGCGCAUCGCUGGCAGCGAUGAGGUCAGGGGUUCGAUCCCCCUAGGCUCCA